rnacentral:lncRNA from 1 species
UUUUCCCAAACCCUUUCACUUAUCUUUUCUCCCUUGUCUCUCUUCUCACCACAACAACCCCACACCUCUCCUUGAUUCCAGAAAGUGAAAUUCCCCCCAAAUUAACUAUUUACAAUCAUAGACAUUCAACCAAUUACAAUCACAAUCAUAGAAAUUCUAACCUUUAAAACUUUUCCCCAAAUUUUCAAACCCUAACCUCAAGGAUUUGCAAUCGUAGAAAUUCCACCAAUCACAAUCAACAAUUAGAAGAAUCUGUAAAAAGUUAAAGAAUAUGGCAGUGAGUGGUUGUUUGAUGGGAUCUACGAAUUGAAGAGAUUUGGAGAUGAAGAUGAAUUUUAAGGUUGUUCUUGGAAACGUUGUUUGAAAAAAUGGAGUAAAGAUCCUUGUUAUUGAACCUUUAUCAUUGAGUCAUAAACUUAUUUUGAUUUCAAAUUAAUUUUUAUUUUUUUUUAUAAAAAAAUCUACAAAUUUUCCCCAUUUUUUUCCUUCAAUUCUUGCGUUCAUCAGGAAUUAAAGUUUAGGUGUGCUAUUUUUGUGUGUUAUACUAAGAUUUUAAUGUUGUUUGGGGGCUUUUGCUGAGGGGUUUGUUGUUGGCAGUAGCAGGUUUCGAAUGCCUGUGUUUUCUUUAGCUGCUAUUGCCAUUUUAGCCUCUAUUUGUAAUUCCUUGCCUUAAGCACUUCCUGGCCUCUGUUGUUGUUGCUGCAGUUUUUCAUAAAUUCAUUGUGUUUAUCAUCAUUUUCAUAAUGUUUGAAGAAUUUU